UUUUGAUGCUAAAGGCUUCGAUGUCUCUUAUGAAGGUGACCGAAGAGAUGAAGAAUGGGCAAUAGCACUUGAAAAGUAUGUUAAAGACUAUCCAGAUGUAAAAAAAUCAGGGCCCCUAAAAUCUCAGAACCGGCCCUG